UACGUAGGGGGCAAGCGUUGUCCGGAUUUAUUGGGCGUAAAGAGCGUGUAGGCGGCCAUACAGGUCAGCUGUGAAGACUCGAGGCUCAACCUCGAGACGUCGGUUGAAACCGUAUGGCUAGAGUCCGGAAGAGGAGAGUGGAAUUCCCGGUGUAGCGGUGAAAUGCGCAGAUAUCGGGAAGAACACCUAUGGCGAAGGCAGCUCUCUGGACGGUACUGACGCUGAGACGCGAAAGCGUGGGGAGCGAACAGG
rnacentral:rRNA from 1 species